CUAAGUUUGAUGGCGACCGGCGGCACGGGUGAGUAACACGUAUCCAACCUGCCGAUGACUCGGGGAUAGCCUUUCGAAAGAAAGAUUAAUACCCGAUGGCAUAGUUCUUCCGCAUGGUGGAACUAUUAAAGAAUUUCGGUCAUCGAUGGGGAUGCGUUCCAUUAGGUUGUUGGCGGGGUAACGGCCCACCAAGCCUUCGAUGGAUAGGGGUUCUGAGAGGAAGGUCCCCCACAUUGGAACUGAGACACGGUCCAAACUCCUACGGGAGGCAGCAUG
rnacentral:rRNA from 1 species